rnacentral:tRNA from 1 species
GGGGCUGUAGCUCAGCUGGGAGAGCAUCAGCAUGGCAUGUUGAGGGUCACCGGUUCGAUCCCGGUCAGCUCCACCA